UAUCCGUUGGUGUACCAGCGGAGGGAUCAUUACAGGACUCGCAAGACUCCUACAACCCUGUGAACUUAACUAUAAGCACGUUGCUUCGGCGGGUGUCUCGGAGGGGGUUCUCCCUCCCCGAGACGCUAAACCCGCCGGCAGCCUACUAUACUCUGUCUCUUUGCGUUGGCAUCUCGAGUACAAUCAAACAAGUUAAAACUUUCAACAACGGAUCUCUUGGUUCUG
rnacentral:misc_RNA from 1 species